GCCGGGCGUGGUGGCGCGUGCCUGUAGUCUCAGCUACUCAGGAGGCUGAGGUGGGAGGAUCCAGGGUGAGGAGCCCCAGAGUUCUGGGCUGCAGUGCACUAUGCCGAUCGGGUGUCCGCACUAAGUCUGGCAUCAAUAUGGUGACCUCCCGGGAGUGGGGGACCACCAGGUUGCCUAAGGAGGGGUGAACUGGCCCAGGUUGGAAACGGAGCAGGUAAAAACUCCGGUGCUGAUCAGUAGUGGGAUCGUGCCUGUGAAUAGCCACUGCACUCCAGCCUGGGCAACAUAGCGAGACUCCGUCUCUU
ensembl:misc_RNA Metazoa_SRP Metazoan signal recognition particle RNA